UUGAUUGUGUUUCUUUUAUGUGUUUCUUUUCUUCUUUUUUUCUAUUGCGGUAUCGACAUUAUCACCAACAUAGCGAUCAUGGGUGAGGGAUCCAUAUUCCGCACUCAUGAGGGAUCCUCCCAAUAGAUCUAAGAUUGAGAAUCUGAGAGGCUACCUUAGCAGUUAAUUGCUCCUCAUUUCUGGCCUUGAGAUGGUCACGUCAUUUUAGGUGAAAGAGGCAACCUUGCCAUUAUAUUGACUUAAAUGCUCCACACAUCUCUAGGGAGUCAUCAUUUUAGCUGCCCAGCAUUCAUUGUUGCCUUGGAAAGGAGCCCC
rnacentral:lncRNA from 1 species